AGAGCGAACGCUGGCGGCAGGCCUAACACAUGCAAGUCGAGCGCCCGUAGCAAUACGGGAGCGGCAGACGGGAUAGUAACACGUGGGAACGCGCCCUUCGGUUCGGAAUAACUCAGGGAAACUUGAGCUAAUACCGGAUACGCCCUUACGGGGAAAGAUUUAUUGCCGAAGGAACGGCCCGCGUCCGAUUAGCUAGUUGGUGAGGUAAUGGCUCACCAAGGCGACGAUCGGUAGCUGGUCUGAGAGGAUGACCAGCAUCACUGGGACUGAGACACGGCCCAGACUCCUACGGGAGGCAGCAGUGGGGAAUAUUGGACAAUGGGCGCAAGCCUGAUCCAGCCAUGCCGCGUGGAUGAUGAAGGCCUUAGGGUUGUAAAGUCCUUUUAACGGGAAGAUAAUGACGGUACCGUAGAAUAAGCCUCGGCUAACUUCGCGCCAGCAGCCGC
rnacentral:rRNA from 1 species